rnacentral:rRNA from 1 species
UGCAGUCGAACGAUGAUCCCAGCUUGCUGGGGGAUUAGUGGCGAACGGGUGAGUAACACGUGAGUAACCUGCCCUUAACUCUGGGAUAAGCCUGGGAAACUGGGUCUAAUACCGGAUAUGACUCCUCAUCGCAUGGUGGGGGGUGGAAAGCUUUAUUGUGGUUUUGGAUGGACUCGCGGCCUAUCAGCUUGUUGGUGAGGUAAUGGCUCACCAAGGCGACGACGGGUAGCCGGCCUGAGAGGGUGACCGGCCACACUGGGACUGAGACACGGCCCAGACUCCUACGGGAGGCAGCAGUGGGGAAUAUUGCACAAUGGGCGAAAGCCUGAUGCAGCGACGCCGCGUGAGGGAUGACGGCCUUCGGGUUGUAAACCUCUUUCAGUAGGGAAGAAGCGAAAGUGACGGUACCUGCAGAAGAAGCGCCGGCUAACUACGUGCCAGCAGCCGCGGUAAUACGUAGGGCGCAAGCGUUAUCCGGAAUUAUUGGGCGUAAAGAGCUCGUAGGCGGUUUGUCGCGUCUGCCGUGAAAGUCCGGGGCUCAACUCCGGAUCUGCGGUGGGUACGGGCAGACUAGAGUGAUGUAGGGGAGACUGGAAUUCCUGGUGUAGCGGUGAAAUGCGCAGAUAUCAGGAGGAACACCGAUGGCGAAGGCAGGUCUCUGGGCAUUAACUGACGCUGAGGAGCGAAAGCAUGGGGAGCGAACAGGAUUAGAUACCCUGGUAGUCCAUGCCGUAAACGUUGGGCACUAGGUGUGGGGGACAUUCCACGUUUUCCGCGCCGUAGCUAACGCAUUAAGUGCCCCGCCUGGGGAGUACGGCCGCAAGGCUAAAACUCAAAGGAAUUGACGGGGGCCCGCACAAGCGGCGGAGCAUGCGGAUUAAUUCGAUGCAACGCGAAGAACCUUACCAAGGCUUGACAUGAACCGGAAACACCUGGAAACAGGUGCCCCGCUUGCGGUCGGUUUACAGGUGGUGCAUGGUUGUCGUCAGCUCGUGUCGUGAGAUGUUGGGUUAAGUCCCGCAACGAGCGCAACCCUCGUUCUAUGUUGCCAGCGCGUUAUGGCGGGGACUCAUAAGGAGACUGCCCGGGUCAACUCCGGAGGAAGGUGGGGGACGACGUCAAAU